UCAUUCUUAUCUAUUUCCCAGGGAGCAGGUUUCUCCAUGCUCACUGAACAAAAGGGAAUGACCAACAGCAGGACCUUCUUCACCAAGUCCUGGAAAUAGCACCUGCUUUUCCAAGUCAGAUACAAAGCCCAAACACCUCCACUGUAAACAAUAUGCGGCUCCGAAGGGCUGUGGCAGACCAGGACUGGGACAAGUCACUGCAGUGACUCACAGUUAAAAGCAUCUUGCAGCUGCCAGAGGAGAGUGUGUUGUCCAGAGUUACUUCUGGUGGCCUCUCAGAUCUUGAACUACCAGACAAUCAAAUCCAUGAUUGAUGGCACCAAGGGAACAACCAAAAGGUAAGAGACCCCCAAAUCUACCCAGGCAUGUGCUCAAAAGCUAGGGACAGAGAUAUGCUUGGAGGAGGGUGUAUAAAGGGAAAUAGGAGGCAUCUGGGUC
rnacentral:lncRNA from 1 species